rnacentral:rRNA from 1 species
CAGUAGCCGCGGGAAUACGAAGGGUGCAAGCGUUACUCGGAAUUACUGGGCGUAAAGCGUGCGUAGGUGGUGGUUUAAGUCCGUUGUGAAAGCCCUGGGCUCAACCUGGGAAUUGCAGUGGAUACUGGGUCACUAGAGUGUGGUAGAGGAUAGUGGAAUUUCCGGAGUAGCAGUGAAAUGCGUAGAGAUCGGAAGGAACAUCUGUGGCGAAGGCGACUAUCUGGGCCAACACUGACACUGAGGCACGAAAGCGUGGGGAGCAAACAGGAUUAGAUACCCCCGUAGUCCCUGUCUCUUAUAC